rnacentral:rRNA from 1 species
AGAUUAAGUUAUUAAGGGCGCACGGUGGAUGCCUUGGCACUAGAAGCCGACGAAGGACGUUACUAACGACGAUAUGCUUUGGGGAGCUGUAAGUAAGCUUUGAUCCAGAGAUUUCCGAAUGGGGAAACCCAGCACGAGUUAUGUCGUGUUAUCUGCAUGUGAAUACAUAGCAUGCAAGAAGGCAGACCCGGAGAACUGAAACAUCUUAGUACCCGGAGGAAGAGAAAGAAAAAUCGAUUCCCUGAGUAGCGGCGAGCGAAACGGGAAGAGCCCAAACCAAUAAGCUUGCUUAUUGGGGUUGUAGGACACUCUGUACGGAGUUACAAAAGAAUUUGUUAGACGAAUAACCUGGAAAGGUUAAUCAGAGAAGGUAAUAAUCCUGUAGUCGAAAACGAAUUCUCUCUUGAGUGGAUCCUGAGUACGACGGAGCACGUGAAAUUCCGUCGGAAUCUGGGAGGACCAUCUCCUAAGGCUAAAUACUCUCUAGUGACCGAUAGUGAACCAGUACCGUGAGGGAAAGGUGAAAAGUACCCCGGAAGGGGAGUGAAAGAGAACUUGAAACCGUGUGCUUACAAGUAGUCAGAGCCCGUUAAUGGGUGAUGGCGUGCCUUUUGUAGAAUGAACCGGCGAGUUACGAUCUGAUGCAAGGUUAAGCAGAAAAUGUGGAGCCGUAGCGAAAGCGAGUCUGAAUAGGGCGAAUGAGUAUUUGGUCGUAGACCCGAAACCAGGUGAUCUACCCUUGGUCAGGUUGAAGUUCAGGUAACACUGAAUGGAGGACCGAACCGACUUACGUUGAAAAGUGAGCGGAUGAACUGAGGGUAGCGGAGAAAUUCCAAUCGAACUUGGAGAUAGCUGGUUCUCUCCGAAAUAGCUUUAGGGCUAGCCUCAAGUGAUGAUUAUUGGAGGUAGAGCACUGUUUGGACGAGGGGCCCCUCUCGGGUUACCGAAUUCAGACAAACUCCGAAUGCCAAAUAAUUUAACUUGGGAGUCAGAAUGUGGGUGAUAAGGUCCAUAUUCGAAAGGGAAACAGCCCAGACCACCAGCUAAGGUCCCAAAAUAUAUGUUAAGUGGAAAAGGAUGUGGCGUUGCCCAGACAACUAGGAUGUUGGCUUAGAAGCAGCCAUCAUUUAAAGAGUGCGUAAUAGCUCACUAGUCGAGUGACACUGCGCCGAAAAUGUACCGGGGCUAAACAUAUUACCGAAGCUGUGGAUUGUCCUUUGGACAAUGGUAGGAGAGCGUUCUAAGGGCGUUGAAGCAUGAUCGCAAGGACAUGUGGAGCGCUUAGAAGU